rfam:Oryza glaberrima chromosome 1 Oglab01_0071_5, whole genome shotgun sequence.
AAAAAAUAUACCCUGAUUUUCAUGUCCAACGUUUGAAUGUCCGUCUUAUAUGAUUUUUUUUUACAAUUAGUACUUUUAUUGUUGUUAGAUGAUAAAACAUGAUUAAUACUUUAUGCGUGACUUGUUUUUUUAAUUUUUUUAUAUAUUUUUUAAAUAAAACGGACGGUCAAAUAUUAGAAAAAAAACAGGGUUUAUCUUUUU